rnacentral:tRNA from 1 species
AAGACUAUAGUCAAUAUUUUAUGACAUAUGAGUUGCAUUCAUAAAGAGUUUAUAGUAUAAACUAGUUUUA